GGACUACACGGGUAUCUAAUCCUGUUUGAUCCCCACGCUUUCGCGCCUCAGCGUCAGUUGUGCGCCAGAUAGCCGCCUUCGCCACCGGUGUUCCUCCUAAUAUCUACGAAUUUCACCUCUACAUUAGGAAUUCCGCUAUCCCCUCACACACUCCAGUCGCACAGUUUCAAAGGCAGUUCCGGAGUUAAGCUCCGGGAUUUCACCCCUGACUAGUACGACCGCCUACGCGCUCUUUACGCCCAGUAAUUCCGAACAACGCUAGCACCCUUCGUAUUACCGCGGCUGCUGGCAC
rnacentral:rRNA from 1 species